UUGAACGCUGGCGGCAGGCCUAACACAUGCAAGUCGAGCGGAUGAAGGGAGCUUGCUCCUGGAUUCAGCGGCGGACGGGUGAGUAAUGCCUAGGAAUCUGCCUGGUAGUGGGGGAUAACGUCCGGAAACGGGCGCUAAUACCGCAUACGUCCUGAGGGAGAAGGUGGGGGAUCUUCGGACCUCACGCUAUCAGAUGAGCCUAGGUCGGAUUAGCUAGUUGGUGGGGUAAAGGCCUACCAAGGCGACGAUCCGUAACUGGUCUGAGAGGAUGAUCAGUCACACUGGAACUGAGACACGGUCCAGACUCCUACGGGAGGCAGCAGUGGGGAAUAUUGGACAAUGGGCGAAAGCCUGAUCCAGCCAUGCCGCGUGUGUGAAGAAGGUCUUCGGAUUGUAAAGCACUUUAAGUUGGGAGGAAGGGCAGUAAGUUAAUACCUUGCUGUUUUGACGUUACCAACAGAAUAAGCACCGGCUAACUUCGUG
rnacentral:rRNA from 1 species